rnacentral:lncRNA from 1 species
AAUUUUGGGGCUGUGGUUUAGCUGUUGGGUUGUGCAAUCCGAUUUUUCAAAAUAUGGUGCUUGGAAAGUCGGCACUUCUCGAAUUAAUCGACAUGUUGUAGUGUUUAUUAAUACUAGCUGGUACUCUAGAGUCCAGAUUUAGUUUUAAAAGACCAAUAUGGUGUAGGAAUUCAGCACCAGCUAUGUGCAAUUGUGCAUUAUGGCUCGUCUAUCUUUUUCCCAC